GGGAUGUAGCUCAGUGGUAGAGAACCUUGUCUAGCACACAUGGGGGUCCUGGGUUAGAUCUCUAGCACCACCCA
rnacentral:tRNA from 1 species